rnacentral:rRNA from 1 species
UUUUAGUCUUAUAGAGGUAGAGCUACCGAUUGGGCUAGGGGGCUUCACCGCCUACCAAACCCUGACGAACUCCGAAUGCUAUAAGAUAUAUCCAGCAGUGAGGCAGCGAGUGAUAAGGCCCGUUGCCGAAAGGGAAACAACCCAGACCAUCGAUUAAGGUCCCAAAGUCUAUGUUAAGUUGCACAAACGUUGUCCGAUUGCUAUAACAGCUAGGAUGUUUGCUUGGAAGCAGCAAUCAUUUAAAGAGUGCGUAACAGCUCACUAGUCGAGUGAUCGGGCGCGGAAGAAUGACCGGGCAUAAAACAUAGCACCGAAAUUGUGGACUCGUAAGAGUGGUAGGAGAGCAUUCCAGCAUCUGUGAAGGUGAAGCGUGAGCUUUGCUGGAGAAACUGGAAAAGAAAAUGUAGGAAUAAGUAACGAUAAAUAAGGUGAAAAACCUUAUCGUCAUAAGCCUAAGGGUUCCUGAUCAACGUUAAUCGGAUCAGGGUUAGUCGGAUCCUAAGGACCACCCGAAAGGGGACCUCCGAUGGAAAACUAGUUAAUAUUCUAGUACUUAUUUAAGUUUCGAUGGGGUGACGGAGUAAUGAAAGAUUCACGAUGGAGACGGAAUUCCACGUUUAAGUGCGUAGGUCUAUGAGCUGUUGGCAAAUCCGCAGUUCUUCUGAAACACGAAAGUAUACCAAUCCUUCGGGAAAGGGGAGAAUCCUAAGCGCUUCCAAGAAAAACCUCUAAGGCUAGGCUUAAAUAAUCCGUACCGUAAACCGACACAGGUGGGCGAGGAGAAUAUCCUAAGACGCUCGGGUGAGCCGCGGUUAAGGAAUUCGGCAAAAUUGUUCUGUAACUUCGGGAGAAAGGACCCCUACUUCGGUAGGGCGCAGUGAAAAGAGCCAGGCGACUGUUUAACAAAAACACAGGACUCUGCUAAAUCGUAAGAUGAUGUAUAGGGUCUGACACCUGCCCGGUGCUGGAAGGUUAAAGAAGGAGGUCAGCGCAAGCGAAGCUUUCGACUGAAGCCCCAGUAAACGGCGGCCGUAACUAUAACGGUCCUAAGGUAGCGAAAUUCCUUGUCGGGUAAGUUCCGACCUGCACGAAUGGUGUAACGAUCUGGCUACUGUCUCAACCGCGAGCCCGGUGAAAUUGAAGUAUCGGUGAAGAUACCGGUUACCCGCAACGGGACGGAAAGACCCCAUGCACCUUCACUACAACUUUACACUGAUUUUGAUUAAUUGAUGUGUAGGAUAGGUGGGAGACUUUGAAGCGGGAGCGCCAGCUUUCGUGGAGUCAACCUUGAAAUACCACCCUUUAAUUGAUUAGGAUCUAACUCUAGAUAAAGAGGACACUGUAUGGUGGGUAGUUUGACUGGGGUGGUCGCUAUA